CACUCCGGUGGCCUAGUGAUUAGAGCGUCCGUCUCUUAUACGGGACGUCACGGGUUAGAACCCCUACCGGGUCA